rnacentral:rRNA from 1 species
CAAUCUGCGUAGUGCUUCUUGCCGUGCGUGUCGAUGCCAAGCAAUGAGUGGGGAGAGCACCAGGGAUAAUGAUUGUUUCUGUCCCCGGGUGGACGAAGGUGCCUGGUCGCAUCCAUUUGUGGGCUGAAACAAAUGGUGGCUGGUUGCAGCGCCCUGUGCCUGCUAGGCAGUUGGGGUGCAGCCCUGAUACGCAGACGAGGACAAAGUGCUUCUGUUCGACCCGUCUUGAAACACGGACCAAGGAGUCUGACACUCAUGCAAGCUCGCGGGUGGGUAAACUUGUUUGCGUAAUUAAAGUGUCUGUUGUGAUUUUUGUGCACCAACGCCCGACCAAUCAGUCGAGAGAGGUUUGAGUGUGAGCAUUUCUGUCAGGACCCGAAAGAUGGUGAACUAUGCUUGAGAAGGGUAAGUUCAGGGGAAACUCUGAUUGAGGCUCGUAGCGAUACUGACGUGCA